GUAGGUGGCAAGCGUUGUCCGGAAUUAUGGGCGUAAAGCGCGCGCAGGCGGGUCCUUUAAGUCUGAUGUGAAAGCCCACGGGCUCAACCGUGGAGGGUCAUUGGAAACUGGGGGACUUGAGUACAGAAGAGGAAAGCGGAAUUCCAAGUGUAGCGGUGAAAUGCGUAGAGAUUUGGAGGAACACCAGUGGCGAAGGCGGCUUUCUGGUCUGUAACUGACGCUGAGGCGCGAAAGCGUGGGGAGCAAACAGGAUUAGAUACCCUGGUAGUCCACGCCGUAAACGAUGAGUGCUAGGUGUUAGGGGGUUUCCGCCCCUUAGUGCUGCAGCUAACGCAUUAAGCACUCCGCCUGGGGAGUACGGCCGCAAAGGCUG
rnacentral:rRNA from 1 species